GACGAACGCUGGCGGCGUGCCUAAUACAUGCAAGUCGAACGCAUUUUCUUUCACCGUAGCUUGCUACACCGAAAGAAAAUGAGUGGCGAACGGGUGAGUAACACGUGGGUAACCUGCCCAUCAGCGGGGGAUAACACUUGGAAACAGGUGCUAAUACCGCAUAAUUCCAUUUACUGCAUGGUAGAUGGAUGAAAGGCGCUUUUGCGUCACUGAUGAAUGGACCCGCGGUGCAUUAGCUAGUUGGUGGGGUAACGGCCUACCAAGGCUGCGAUGCAUAGCCGACCUGAGAGGGUGAUCGGCCACACUGGGACUGAGACACGGCCCAGACUCCUACGGGAGGCAGCAGUAGGGAAUCUUCGGCAAUGGACGCAAGUCUGACCGAGCAACGCCGCGUGAGUGAAGAAGGUUUUCGGAUCGUAAAACUCUGUUGUUAGAAAAGAACAAGGAUGAGAGUGGAAAGUUCAUCCCUUGACGGUAUCUAACCAGAAAGCCACGGCUAACUACGUG
rnacentral:rRNA from 1 species